GAUGAACGCUGGCGGCGUGCCUAAUACAUGCAAGUCGAGCGAACGGACGAGAAGCUUGCUUCUCUGAUGUUAGCGGCGGACGGGUGAGUAACACGUGGAUAACCUACCUAUAAGACUGGGAUAACUUCGGGAAACCGGAGCUAAUACCGGAUAAUAUUUUGAACCGCAUGGUUCAAAAGUGAAAGACGGUCUUGCUGUCACUUAUAGAUGGAUCCGCGCUGCAUUAGCUAGUUGGUAAGGUAACGGCUUACCAAGGCAACGAUGCAUAGCCGACCUGAGAGGGUGAUCGGCCACACUGGAACUGAGACACGGUCCAGACUCCUACGGGAGGCAGCAGUAGGGAAUCUUCCGCAAUGGGCGAAAGCCUGACGGAGCAACGCCGCGUGAGUGAUGAAGGUCUUCGGAUCGUAAAACUCUGUUAUUAGGGAAGAACAUAUGUGUAAGUAACUGUGCACAUCUUGACGGUACCUAAUCAGAAAGCCACGGCUAACUACGUGCCAGCAGCCGCGGUAAUACGUAGGUGGCAAGCGUUAUCCGGAAUUAUUGGGCGUAAAGCGCGCGUAGGCGGUUUUUUAAGUCUGAUGUGAAAGCCCACGGCUCAACCGUGGAGGGUCAUUGGAAACUGGAAAACUUGAGUGCAGAAGAGGAAAGUGGAAUUCCAUGUGUAGCGGUGAAAUGCGCAGAGAUAUGGAGGAACACCAGUGGCGAAGGCGACUUUCUGGUCUGUAACUGACGCUGAUGUGCGAAAGCGUGGGGAUCAAACAGGAUUAGAUACCCUGGUAGUCCACGCCGUAAACGAUGAGUGCUAAGUGUUAGGGGGUUUCCGCCCCUUAGUGCUGCAGCUAACGCAUUAAGCACUCCGCCUGGGGAGUACGACCGCAAGGUUGAAACUCAAAGGAAUUGACGGGGACCCGCACAAGCGGUGGAGCAUGUGGUUUAAUUCGAAGCAACGCGAAGAACCUUACCAAAUCUUGACAUCCUUUGACAACUCUAGAGAUAGAGCCUUCCCCUUCGGGGGACAAAGUGACAGGUGGUGCAUGGUUGUCGUCAGCUCGUGUCGUGAGAUGUUGGGUUAAGUCCCGCAACGAGCGCAACCCUUAAGCUUAGUUGCCAUCAUUAAGUUGGGCACUCUAAGUUGACUGCCGGUGACAAACCGGAGGAAGGUGGGGAUGACGUCAAAUCAUCAUGCCCCUUAUGAUUUGGGCUACACACGUGCUACAAUGGACAAUACAAAGGGCAGCGAAACCGCGAGGUCAAGCAAAUCCCAUAAAGUUGUUCUCAAUUCGGAUUGUAGUCUGCAACUCGACUACAUGAAGCUGGAAUCGCUAGUAAUCGUAGAUCAGCAUGCUACGGUGAAUACGUUCCCGGGUCU
rnacentral:rRNA from 1 species